GGGCAUCAGAGCAGCAGUCCCUUGAUCGAUGAGCUCUUUGAGACCACCUGAAUUGCAAGCUCUGUAUGGCCAGUUUUUGUGUGACAAAAUAAAAGAUGAGGAAGGGUUGAAAAUCCCUCCAGCUAAGUUAGGGAUCAUGUAAUUGCCAUGGAAACCAAAUAUAGUAAUGUAUAACAGGUUGUAUAUUCCUGAAAGUGCAAUUGUUGGAUAAAUGUUAAUUUAUAUUGGCACUAAUGUAAUUUUAAGAUUGUCCUUAUUUUUAGCUUUACAUAAACACCAAAAGCAGAGAAUAUUGUUCCCAGUUGGAAUUGUGUCAUAUUUAUUAUCAUAAUAGUAUUAUCAUAAUUGUGGUAAUGUAAUCCUAUUUGAAAUUUUCAACCAGUAUUUAUUUUAUGUGGGAUAUGUUUUAUAUACACUGAAGUUCAAUAUUUGUUACUAUGUAAUUUUAGAUCUGAUCAAGUUUACCUUAAUGUUACUUAAUAAAACCCACUUAACUCCAAAGAA